GACCAUGUGGCCUAAUGGAUAAGGCGUCUGUUCCGAGAUCAGAAGAUUGAGAUUCAGAGUCCGAGUCCCUUCAUGGUUA